UACGUAGGGUGCGAGCGUUGUCCGGAAUUAUUGGGCGUAAAGAGCUUGUAGGCGGUUUGUCGCGUCUGCUGUGAAAAUCCGGGGCUCAACCCCGGACUUGCAGUGGGUACGGGCAGACUAGAGUGUGGUAGGGGAGACUGGAAUUCCUGGUGUAGCGGUGAAAUGCGUAGAUAUCGAGAGGAACACCUGCGGCGAAGGCGGGUAGCUGGGCCGACACUGACGCUGAUGCGCGAAAGCCAGGGGAGCGAACGGG
rnacentral:rRNA from 1 species